AUGAUGAUGUUUCUAAACUUGUUAUCCUUAAUUGUACUCUUUGAUGCUGUCCAAUCUGACGUCCAGUUGGUGGAGUCUGGAGAGGAUGUGAGAAGGCUUGGAGAGUCCCUCCAUCUCACCUGCCAAGCCUCUGGAUUCAGUUUCCAUAGCUACUGGAUGCACUGGGCAAGACAGGCUCCAGGAAAAGGACUGGAAUGGAUGGCAUGGAUAAGUCGUAAUGGAGGAGAAGCCUCCUACUCAGACAUAGUGGAGGACUGCUUCACCACAUCCAGGGACAAUGCCAAAAGCCAGCUGUAUCUGCAAAUGAACAGCCUCAAACCAGAAGACACGGCUGUCUAUUACUGUGUGAGCGACACAAUCCUGGAAUAG